rnacentral:rRNA from 1 species
UAGCCGUAAACGAUACUCGCUAGGUGUCGGCCACGGUGCGACCGUUGUCGGUGCCGUAGGGAAGCCGUGAAGCGAGCCACCUGGGAAGUACGGCCGCAAGGCUGAAACUUAAAGGAAUUGGCGGGGGGAGGCACCACAACGGGUGGAGCUUGCGGUUUAAUUGGAUUCAACGCCGGAAUCUUACCGGGACCGACAGCAACAUGAAGGCCAGGCUGAAGACUUUGCCGGAUUAGCUGAGAGGAGGUGCAUGGCGUAGUCGUG